rnacentral:lncRNA from 10 species
CAGUUAGAAGCAGAUCAGAAAUCGAACACGUUUGCUUUUGCGAUUCGAGAGCCCUUUCUGGCGCGGAGCUAGGGGCGGUGUUACGUAGCUGCCCUGAACUGAGAGCAGCGUUGGCCGGGGGCUAGGGAGCCGGGCUGUUCCACGCUCACUGUGCGCCUCGGGCGGCGGGGCUCGGGCUCUGUCCGAGGUGCUGAACUCCGGGGCUCCGGCCGCGCCGGCAGAGUGUGCCAGCGUCCAUUAUUGCCAGUGUCUGUGGGCAUCUUCCAGAAGGCCGAGCAUGGGGGUCAGGUGAAACCAGGGCGCUCCCAAGCACCUUGCCCAGUAGAGCCCCCUUGCACCCUGCUUGGUUGGUCAGCACCCCAUGGACAUGCAGCCUUGACCUUGGCAUGGGAAGCCUCCACUGUGUCAAGCCCAACAUCCAGGCCUCUGAAGACAGUCAUUCAGCCAUGAAUAUCAAUUAUUACAGAAAUGAAAAGGGAUCCUGCACCCAAAUUCAAAUCAAGCAAGUUCACCUAGAGGUUGCCGUGGGGUGGAGGGCCCAGAUCUGGGCUGUUUGGAUCUCUCUGCAGGAUGAAAGGGAUUUCCUGGACCUGGCUUUGCUGUCCCUUGCUCCUUUUGUAAGCAUCUGACUCUUCCUCUAUCCAUAAAGAUGAAGACAUUCUUUCGCAGGGAUUUAAUAUUGGGGCUGCAUGCCUGGCCCCUGAGAAAGCCCAAGCUUCCUCCUCCUUUUGAAUCGAACCCAGUGCAGCUUUAUGCGCUCCAGACGAGCCUGCAUUCCCCCUAAUGCCCCUGGAAUUGCUUACUCACACCAAAAUCCGCUGCCUCAGGCGUUUCCAGCCAGAGGUAAGCCUUCUUUUCAUGGGCAAUCAGGCAGUAGCCUGGAGCACAGAGGGGAAGGGGGGCACCUGCAUGCCCGGCUGGGUCUCUGUAGACAGUGGAUCAUGCGAGGCCUCCCCUCUCCUUGACCCUGUGUGAUGAGCCCUGGGAGGAGGCACCCAGGCCAGGGGAGGAGCUGCGUAGUGACAGAAAGGGCAUCUACAUCUCUACCACGUAAGUGGGGAAACUGAGGCUGGGCCUAGCACCAGAUCACUCAUGUUGAAACCUAGGUUUGAACUGGGUCUCUGAAUCCCCAUCCAGAGCUCACUGCCUUAAGGCUGAGGUGCCUGUGAGUGUCUGAGGACCCUUACUAUGAGACAGUGUUAUCGCUGACUUACAGUCUGGGUAAAGAAGGUGAAUGCAGUCAGAGGAGUAGAUUCAGGUGUCAGACAUUUGCAUAAAAUACCAAUUGCUCCUCAUGUUGGGGAGGUAAUUCACAAGCUUGAAUCUCUAAAAGGCUGCAUCUGGUGGAGGGCGGGGCUAUGUGUCUGUGCACGUCUGGUCUUUGGAGUUCUUAUUCAGCAAAUAUUGAUUGCAAGCCCACCAUGUGCCAGGCAUCAUGCCUGGGGCUUGGGAUCCAGAGAUGAAGAGACAGUCAACCAAGUCCAUCAGGCUCUGCCAACCCCUGUAGUGUGAGUGGUGGUUGGAGCACGUGUUAUACCCCCAAAAGGUGGGCUUGGCCAAGCCCUUCCACUUACCAGCCAUGUGUCCUUCUGGAUGGCAGUUUCCUCAUCUGCAAAAUGUGUGUAGCCCUAAGACCUGUCACCCAGGACCAUUUGGGAGGUCAGCUGUUGUUUUGCAGGUGAAAAGAUCCAUCUGGUCUCUGGGCCUGGCACUCUAUCUAUAAAAUGAGGCUCUACUCCAGCAUGUACCCACGGUGUGCUCUGGGUAGUAAACUGUGGUGGUUUAGCACUUUGCCUUUGGGUCUGACAGUCCUGGAUUCAAAUCCAGACUCUGCCCUCUACUGUGUAACCUGGUGCAUGUCACUUAACCUCUGUGGAACCCAGUAUUCUCAACUAUUAAAUGAGGAUGAUAAUAGUAGUAAUCAUAGUAGUACCUAGCUCAGACUGUUGGUGUAAAAAUUAAAUGAGCUAAUUAAAAUUAAAAAGUAAAGUGUUUUGCACAGAGACACUCCUAGUAAGCCCUGAAGAAAUGAGAGCUAUGCUUUUGAUUAUUAAUAUUCUUAUAAUCCAAAGGAUGAUGCAGGAUUUUUUAAAUCUUUCCACAUGUAUGUUUUUGGACCAGUCCAAAAAAGAAUUGGAAACACACUUAUGCCGCAUAAAGACAGAGUUAUGAGGAACUAUAAAAACAAAAUAAAACCUUUGGAGAAUCAACUGCAAAGACAUGUAUUCUGUUUUUAUUAUAGUUCUGAGCCCAACAGUGUCUCACCAGGUGACUACCUGAGAUAUCCAACAUCAUAUGUCCACCAGAGGGUGGGGAACACUCAGCCCCUUUUUAUCAACACCUUCACUGUCCAGCCAGCCCCUAACUGGCCCCUUUCUGUCUGAAGGAGGUGGCUGAGUCUCUGGGCCGGACUCUCCGCUCCUCCCAGCCGCCUCUGCCUAUCCAUCCCAUGGCCACCUGAGCCGCUCUCCACACUCUUGAACCCAGAGCCAAGACACACAAGUGCUGAGUCUCAUCAGUAACUGCAAUCUCAUGAAAGCACUCUUGGGCCUCAGUCACCUUGAAGAGCAGGAAAGGCUCUGAGGGGACAUUCAUUCCACCCAUCAUCUCAGGUUCCAGUUUGCUUUAAAGGAAACUGAGGCAUCGUAAAAGUUAAAGACAUGUGGAGGAUCAUACCAGAAGUUGAGAGCCCAGCCAAUCUAAGUGCUGGGACUUUCACAGUUGUCAGGGGGCAUUACAGCUGUAUAUUCAAAGCCUCAACUGUAUCUUGCAAUCACCUGGCACAGCUACAGUGCCCAGGCCACACCCUGGACCAAUUAAAUCAGAAUCUCUGGGAAUGAGAUCCAGGCAUCAGUAUCAGAUAGCCAAGCUUAUAUACUCCUGCAUUAAAGUGAGAAGGCCCCCAUGUGAACACUAAAUGCCUUAAUUCACAUUAUUUUUGCACGGUUCUCAAACCUACUCUUGCCCAGCCACAUCCUGAAGAUUCUGAUGUAAUUUGCCAUGCAUCAGGACCCUUCAAAACUCCCAGGUGACUCCAACAAGCAGCUAAGGCUGAGAACCACUGUGUUCAUCUACCACCUUCAUUUAACUUUAAAACUGUAUUUACUCUUUAAGUAAAAUCAUAAUAUUUAAUUGCAGAAAAGAAAAGAAAAAAGUACCUGUUCAGCUGAGAUGCAAUCCAUUGCAUGUUAAUCUGUAUUCACAUUCCAGGAAAUAGAAGCAUUUGUAGUUACAGGAAUUUUUAUCUGUGGUUUUACAUCUUUACACACAGGUGUAUAGACUUGCUUAUGUGUCAGUCCGUUACUGCAAUGUGCCAAUUAAGACAUUUAUUGAGUUUGAUUUGGUAUAAGUAAUUAUGAGUUAUAAAAGAUCAUUCUGAAUCAACAACGUAAUAAAUAACCAUCUUUAAUGUAAUAGAAUAUAAGUUUAGUUAGAGUCAUGAAACCUUCUGUCUCAGCACAUGGUUCCUAUAAACCGAAAAAGACAAAAGCAUUUGGUGAGUAGCUGUCAGCUGAAGAAAAUGUCUGGAAAGGGACUUUCCCUCAAAUCAGACGGAAAUUCCUGCUCUCCCUUUUUUUUUUUUUAAGCAAGAGUACCUAAAAUUCCAAAAAGUCCUAUACCCCUUUAUUCACCUUAUAAAGAAGUCUGUGGAAUAAGCCCCCUUCCCUCACCAACCACCCAACCGCUUUUCUCAAGGGGAGACCCUAAACCCAGUCGCAGAGAGCACAUUUUGAAUAAGCAAAGUGGAGAUCUCACUGACAAAACACAAAGGCUACCCCAGCAUCCUCAGGCAGGGGGCGCAUACCUGGGCCCCCUAUGCCCAAGGUCUCCUCCUGGAAUCCCCUGCUGUCCUCGGGCACCCAGAGCGGGAACGCCAGGUUUUCCCCAUCACGCAAGUGCAGGCGGCGCGGGGGUUCCGGAGGCUGUGAGUGUCAAUCACCUACCCUUAUCAGUUCUCCGUCCAACACUUACAGUCACAAAGCUGGGCUGGAAAAGUGAUAAGGGGACGUGACUGGCCGGCAAAGAAGUUUUGAUGAAGCUUUGCAGGACAAGAUGUAAAUGGACGUUUG